rnacentral:rRNA from 1 species
AGUGAACGCUGGCGGUAGGCCUAACACAUGCAAGUCGAACGGCAGCACAGUAAGAGCUUGCUCUUACGGGUGGCGAGUGGCGGACGGGUGAGGAAUACAUCGGAAUCUACUUUUUCGUGGGGGGUAACGUAGGGAAACUUACGCUAAUACCGCAUACGACCUACGGGUGAAAGCAGGGGAUCUUCGGACCUUGCGCGAUUGAACGAGCCGAUGUCGGAUUAGCUAGUUGGCGGGGUAAAGGCCCACCAAGGCGACGAUCCGUAGCUGGUCUGAGAGGAUGAUCAGCCACACUGGAACUGAGACACGGUCCAGACUCCUACGGGAGGCAGCAGUGGGGAAUAUUGGACAAUGGGCGCAAGCCUGAUCCAGCCAUACCGCGUGGGUGAAGAAGGCCUUCGGGUUGUAAAGCCCUUUUGUUGGGAAAGAAAAGCAGCAGGUUAAUACCCCGCUGUUCUGACGGUACCCAAAGAAUAAGCACCGGCUAACUUCGUG